AAGGAUCAUUAUCGAUUCAGCGAAGUGCCUGUGAGUUGUGCUGGCCUCUCUCGGGGCAUGUGCACGCUUCAUGGGUCUUCACACAUCCACACCUGUGAACCAAUUGUAGGUCUUUCGGGACCUAUGUCUUCUCAUAACACACUGUAUGUCUAGAAUGUCAUUAUGAUUAUCGUCUGCUUCCUUUGUGGAGUUGGGCUGAUAAGAUAAACAAUAUACAACUUUCAGCAACGGAUCUCUUGGCUCUCGCAUCAAUGAAGAACGCAGCGAAUUGCGAUAUGUAACGUGAAUUGCAGAUUUUCAGUGAAUCAUCGAAUCUUUGAACGCACCUUGCGCUCCUUGGUAUUCCGAGGAGCAUGCCUGUUUGAGUGUCAUUAAAUUCUCAACCCCAUCGAUUUGUUUCGGUUGUGGGAUUGGAUUGUGGGGGUUUGCUGGUGGACUUCUCGUCCGUCGGCUCCUCUGAAAUGUAUUAGCAAAGGUUGAUGUGCGAACCAGUGUCUCGGUGUGAUAAUCAUCAUCGUGCCUGACGUGCAGUGUCCUGUGCUUACAGUCGUCGUAAGACAACGUUUUGAACCUUUGACCUCAAAUCAGGUAGGAUUACCCGCUGAACUUAA
rnacentral:misc_RNA from 1 species